rnacentral:rRNA from 1 species
CGCACGGGUGCGUAACACGUAUGCAACCUACCUUUAACUGGGGAAUAGCUCACCGAAAGGUGAAUUAACUCCGCAUAAAAUCACAGAAGGACAUCCUUUAAUGAUUAAAUCUCCGGAGGUUAAAGAUGGGCAUGCGUCCGAUUAGCUAGUUGGCGGGGUAACAGCCCACCAAGGCAACGAUCGGUAGGGGGUCUGAGAGGACGACCAGCCACACUGGGACUGAGACACGGGCCCG